UUUACACCAAUAAACGAAACGGCCUGGUGCCUGGUAGUUAGUAGUGGUAACGAAUCGAGUCCUUGAGUGUUGUUGUCAGUCUUCUCGGAUACGGUCUGUUACGCAUAUUUUUUCGAACAUGUCCCCUGAAAAUCGCUCGUUUUUGGCGCGAAUCAUCUGUUUAUAACUGUUAUAAUUUUAUAUUACAAAUUAUGUGAUAGUACAGAUGUAACAUCAUUUUGCAUCUACCUUCAUGUCGGUCUAAAGUCCUGGAGAUUUCGUUAAAAAUAAUAAUUAUUUUAUAUACUGGUGUGUAAAGUACACACCAGUGUUUAUAUUUAUAAUUAUACUUAAAUUGUAGUGGAUAUCAGGACAUGAAAGCAUUGUGUAUUUAAUAGCAACAAGUGUCGGCUCGGAUUAGAACGUGUAACUGCAUUAAAAAUGAGUUAUGGAGUGAAGGUUUCUGUAUCGACAUGACCAUCGACACAAACGUCGACCCAUUACAGGAAAUGUCUACGAUGAUUUCAAUUGCCACUCCUAUCAGAAAUGCAGCUACACACUCGACUGCCAAAGGACUUACAAAUCGUCCUGGGCAGAAUAAUUGUUUCCUCAACAGUUCCAUUCAAGUAAGUUAUGUGACUUGGAUUGUAAAAUUGUGGAUUGGUGUUGUCUGCACAGCAGAACUUUUGUUGAGCAAAAACGUAAUUAGCCGUUAUGUCAUUUGCCACGUUAAAACAGUAUUUAAUAGCUUUGUUGAAAGGUUGUAUGUUAUUGUGUUAAUAUCUUUUAGUAGUACUGUGCCAUCAAAGGAAAUCAAAGUAAUUAGAUCUGCUUGGAACGAGAGAAACGAGAAUUUCUUGGAAAAUGAAAUUUAGUACACAUCUGACAGGGAGGAUUCAGUAUAUUGUUACGUUUUUGGGGUGCCAAAGGUGCCAGUAUCUUGCUCUAUUUGUAAACAAUAUUUAAUAAACAGAAACCAAAUUAUAACGAACAAUAAUCGCAAUACUAUUUAACCUUGAUUCUAUAGCUCGUUCACUAAUUAGGAAAGUUGUAUUAUAUUUGUAUAUAUGACGGUUUAUAGCGUUUGUCUUCGCUGUCUGACCUCUAGACUUUUCGUCCAUGGUGCACGAUUGAAACAGUCUGCAACCGUAAGGUUUUUCUCUCUCAUAGCUUUUUUUAUGCUUGCGCCCCACGUACUCCUAGGCCUCCCUCUUCUUCGUUCGGUAGGCACCCAUUCCAUUGCUAUUUUUGGUAGUCUUCCUUCGGGCAUUCGUUGGACAUGUCCGUACUAUAUCAGUUGCCUUUUCUUGAUGUCCUCAAGUAUUUUUUCCUUGAUAUUGGUCAUUUGCGAUAUACUCUCAUCCGUUAUGUGCUGUAAUCUCGAGAUUCAGCAAAACCUUUUCAGGACAUCCAUUUCAAGAAAUCGUAUUUUGUCCUUGUCGGCUUCAGUUAACUUUCAUGUUUCCGCUCCAUACUGUUGCACAUGUUGAACUGUAUGCUGUUCACUAUUGUAUUGUUUAUAUUGAUCUUUGUUUUUUCUUGAAAUGUCGUUAUUUAAUAGCUCGUCUUCCUUGUUUUAAACGUCCUUUUAUUUCAAGGGAUCAUUUUUCUUCGCUGUUCAAUUCUAUUCCGAAAUAUUUGUAUUUGCCACAUUUCAUGAUUGUAUCGUCUGCGAUUUUCAAACCACUUUCUGCCUCCUGCCCUUCGCGUUUCCUCUCAAUUGCGUCUCUAAUAAUAAAUAAUAAUAAAUAUUCUACCUUACAAUCGGCUAAAUGUGGAUGUUAGCGCCUCUAUUCUCCCUAUCUCCUUUUUUGGAAAUUUAUGACAUAAAACCGGUUUUCUAUUUUUCUGAGACCGGUUCGUCGUUUAUGCAUUUAACAAAUAGUUGAUUAAUCGUGUUAAACAGCUUUUCUGUCCCGUUUUAUAAGUUUUAGCUUUAAUGCAGCCUGGAACUCUUGUCUUGCCGUUCUUUAAUAUUUUUAUCUAUAAAUUCCGUUUAAUUGUCUCUUGAUUUAUAAAUUCUGGUCUAUCCUCGGUAAGUAGUUUUUUGUAGUAUAUCGCUUCCAUUUAUCAACAGAAAUAAGUUGAAAGUUGCUGCUUUUCUCAUAUCUGACAUUUUCUAUGAAUCUUUAGGCUUCGUUACAUGUUCUACCACCAAGAUACAUAUCAAUUUCACUACCGUUUUCACUCCAGCUGUUUUCUUUUUGAUGUCUUUGUUGUUCUAUUUAAAAAUACGCUUUGAUCUUGCUUCGCUUUUCUGAGACACUCUGUAUCAUAUAAGAUAUUUUUAAAAUGUGCGCACAUUGUGCGUGAACAACUUUCAUAUGAAACUAUUUUUCGAAAGUUCAACACCAU